GAGGGGGGGCGAGGGGCAGAGGCCGGGCAGACACCGCCGCCGUGCUUGGUUUCUCCUUGCUGCCCGGUACAGAGCUUUGGGAAAGUCUUCCUGAGCACCUGCUGGCUGGAAGAGUGGCCGAAUACAGCCCGGGCCAACACGAGAGCCGCUGCCAUCAAGCACCUCCGUUCCGCAGCCUCGGGCUCUGCAGCGAAGGCUGGGCCCUCCAGCCCUUGCCCCUGAGCAUCCUGAGCACACGGCUUCUUUCUCUCAACCUGGUGCGAAGCUGCACCCUCAGAGAAGCAAAGCUUCCCAGCUUUUCUGUCCGUCGUGGCCCUUACUCCCGAUUUCCUGGAUGACAGCCUCCCUGCAGCUUUCCCAGCUUGUCUGGAGGCGUGCGCGGCUCUCCCCACCCCAGAUCUCCAGGGCACGGCCCGAAAGCCGCUGCUCCCAUGCUCUGACUACUUUGCCUCGUGCUUCCCGAUGUGUUGUGGGGCCGCCCCGCUCCCCGUCCCCUCGUCCCACACUCGGGAAGCGCUCCCAGUAGCCAAACUGGUUCCUCCCGGGGCGCUGGCACCAGCCCCGCGGAUUAACUCGUUCCGCCCGGCGUUUGCCAACUUCUGCCAGCCCCAUGCAUUAUUCAGCAGCCGGGCUUCUUCCAGGCCCUCCGACAACCUGCAGCUUCCUAGCAUUUGAGGGUUUUUUUUUUUUUUUGAACUGACAGCUCCUGCAGUUUAUUCCUCUUUUGGCUUGCUAAUGAGCCGGGUGCUGCUUAACGCAGAGGCCUGGAGUAUUUUGCUGCUGGCUCCCCGGGUCUGGGGAGGGGGCUCAGGGAAAGCGAGCAUCCCCCGGCGACUACGGCUAAAAAGAAGGUGCCGGUGCCGGCGUUGCAUCCGUGGAAGCCUUUAACAUCUCCCGGCUCCCCCGCAUCCCCUUCUUGCCAAAACUGAGGCUUCGGGACGGCUGUGUGGGUCCGCGCCAGGCGGCUCCGAAACCUGCAGUUCAGGCUGGGGCACUCGCAGAUGACAGAUAGGGAGGGCGAGAGUGCAUGGGACACCCGUGGGCUGAAAAUACCAACCAGAUCCGGACACGGUGGCAGGUCCCGCGGGGAGGGCAGCAGCAUGUCCCGGGGGUUUUGCACCCGGACGCGUCCCGUGCCAUGGGUACAGUCUCCAGGACAGCACACGGAAUAAAAAUAGCUGGCUCGCUUCGAAGGGAAAUCACAGGGCCGUGCUUUUCUCAUUAAGCGCCGUCACAUUUUCCAGACAGAAGCUCGGCGCGCGGAGCUGUAAAUUGGGAGUUUUCCUCCUUCUCCAGCUGCGGCUGCUCGGGGACCUUUGCAGGACGGGGCCCCGCUCCCCAGCCCCACGGGGCCACGCACGCCCCCGGCCCCCGCCUCCAAGAGCGAGGCAAAACGAAAGCGAGCGAGGCCGGCGGCGCCUGCGGUGAGCGGCUCGGCCGCGUCCCCGGCACCGGGGCGAGCGGUGGGGAUAUAUUUAGCCAAAAAGUGGCUCCCGAGGCACGGACAUCGCGGCGGGUUUCAGGCAGCCCCGGCCUGCCCAAGGCUGCGCUGCUGGUGGGGACGGCGCGGGCCCGGUGCAGGCGCGCGAAGGCAGCCGGCAAUUUGCAUAGCCAGCUCACAAGUUGCUUUUGAAGGAUGUGACCUAAUUAAGGCUCAGCUCUUUUCAAUAUGAUUUUCAUAGUCACACGGGUUGUUUUUCCCCCGUGCAACCAGACGGCCCGGCCGGGCCUCCCGGGACGUUUUGAGCUGGGAAGUGGAACAGGAGAAACCGUCUGAAUUCAGCCACGGGCGGUGGGGUGCAGGGGGCUGUGCAGCCCCUUCCUGAUCCCAGGUAUCGCAGCCGAUGGCUGCUGGGGGGUCUUCGCCCCCACAAAGUGGCAGCUCCCAGGCUGGCAGCAUCCUCGGCCACGCCGCUGAGCCCAGGCUCCCGGCUCGGUGUCAAAAUUCCCUGGGAAAUUUCGGCUUUUCCCCCGAAUCGAGAGCUGAGGCUGGAGCGAAGCUCCCCGUGGACACCCCCACAGGAGACUGGGAACAAGGAAAUGGCCUAAAAGCACCGGCACGUGCUGUGCUGCCUGAAACCGGAUGAUUUGUGCUGGGGAUGUUUGCUUCGUAAGGGGGAUUCUUUGAUUCUUUAAUUAAUCCACCGGUUUUGGUGCUUAGGGCCAGAAAGCGGGGUUCUCACCUCCGCCCGGCUGUGGGGGGCACGGCACCACCCCAGGACGAGGCUUUUCCUGGGUUUCUCCGUCCUGUGGUGCAGGAUGGAGCCGUCCCCACAGCGGUGCUUGGAGCAACGCCUUCCCACGAGGAAACCCGGUGGGCAAUUUGGCUAAAAACGAGACGAAUCCAUCAUCUCCCGCUCCGAACCGUGGCACUGCCAGCUGCAGCCCAGCUCCGAGGGGCUGCAGGGGCUCUAGGAGCGGUGCCUGCUUGCACGCCCUGGAGCCGGGCCAGCGACCUGAGCGCGGAGGCUGCCAGAGCUGGAAAAAAAAAAUGACUUUUGCAGCUCCGACUGCAUGUGAUGCUGCCCGGCACUGCCUAAGCGACCUCCCAGCGCCUUUUAUACCACAGCAAAUGUGGUAUAAAAGUGCCUUGAUGUUCUUUGUGCCUCGAUGUUCUCUCCGGACGGCUGGGGAAGGGCCAUUCGCCGGGAUGGGAUGCGUCCCCUCGGUGGCAUUUUGGCCCGGGGGUCGAGCAGGAGGAAGCCCCGGUGGAGGAGGAGGCCCUGGGAGCUCUGUGGCUGGGUGAGCCACCGCUGCACGGCCCCGGGGUGCCGCGGUGAGGGCGAGAGCUGGGAAGCUGCGCCUAGGCCGGUAAAUCAGCCGGCCCGUUCCGCAUGGCCGCGUUACCCUCCAAUUAAGGGCAUUCCUCACUUCCCCUCCCAAUUAGCAGAAAGGGAACGCAUUAACUGGCGCGGGGUGCGCGCCGCCCGCCUCGGCAGCGGGGACGGCAGGCCUCCCGCGGGGCUGGCACGGCGUUCCCACGCACCGAAACCCGGGGGGCCGGGGCUGUGCCAGGCGGGCGGCAGGCCCGGCGCGGGCGGCUGCCGCGGGUGAAUCAGCCCGGCGAGGCGGGGAGGCACGCAGGCCGCCGGGCAGCCCGCUCUCAGCGAGGUUUCCCGGCGGGCAUCGCCGUGCCACAGCCCUUCCUUGGCUGCAAACCUGCCCCAAAAAGGGAAUUUCGUGGCACUGGGAAGAAGUGGAGGCGGUGCAGGUGGCUGGGGACCUGCUGGGAGCAAAACCCCGCGGGGAUUUUGUGCUUGGGGCGGCCGGGGCUGACUAUUCCCAAAGCGUUUUUGGGGAUGGGGGGGGCACAAACCCUGCAUGCCCGUGGGGCGAAGCACCUCGAAGGGCACCCCCGCUUCCCUCUGCCCCUCUCGGUGCCUCGUCCUCCUUUCGCUGCAGCUAAAGCAGGGGCUGCACCCGUCCUGCCGCUCGCGCUGCCUGCACGCCCCGGCGGCUACGCCCGUAAUCCCCGCGGCCGGGUGCGGCAGGAAUUACCUGUUCCCGGGCUGCUCCAACUUGCCCGCCCGUCCCAAGCGGCUCCCGGCCCCCCCCAGGCCCCUGGCCCGUAUUUGGGGGUUUGCACAGGCACUACUGCUUUGCCUUCCCUUUACCACCAUGGGAUCCCCCCAUCACCACCAAGAUGAGCCAAAUUUGUGUGGAUAAUGCUUAAUUUUAGGGCAGGCUGCAGGUGCCCUCCCCACCCCGAAGGGUCCCACGCUGCCCCCGCCGUGCCAAGGCUCGGGGCGUUCGCGUUCCCCGGGUGCCUUUAUCUCAUCCGGCACGCAGCCGCCCCGCGCCUUGCUCAAGAGGAAACGAAAGAGCCGCCGUUAACGCCGGGCGGCCGCGUGCAGGGCGGCCCCCCCCGGCCCCCUCCCCGCAAUGGGAUGGGGGCGACGGUCCCUGCCCCGCGCCGAAAACUGCAGCAGCCCCCUCCCCACCCAGUCCCGGCACACGGGGCGGCCUCGAUGCUGCGAUUACACCAAAAACAGCCUGAAAACCCCGAACUAGCCCCCACUAGCAACCCUGCAAGAUGACGAGCCCUGCGGGCAGCUCCCGCCCCCACCAAUAAUUCCUCUCCGGCACCCUAAUCUGCAGCCCUGCUGGCGCAGCGGCCAAAGCCAAUUACCCACGCACCGAUCCCGGGGCUGCCAGGUGGGAAAUCCAACGGGGUGGCGAGGGGCAGCAGCGCACGGGGGCAGCGAUGCACGGGUGGCUGCAUGGGGAGCCCCAGGGGUGGUGAGACCCAGGGUGAAAGCCCGGGGCAGGUGGGACCCCCGCAAGGACCCCGCAGAGGAGCGAUCCCCACUACUUGGUGCUUUUGUUGAAUAAAGCGACCUCUGAUGCGGGGAGGGGAUCUGGGAGCCUUGGCUGUGGCCCCUUUGGGGUGAUGCCCUGACAGACGGUCCCCACUCCUCUCUGUUUUUUGGUAGGGCAUGGCACGAGGCUCAGAGGCCCUGGCACUUCUAAAACAGCGUCCAUCAAAUCCUCCUCGCUCUGAUUUAGGGCCUCAAGGCCCCGUCCCUGCAGGGCUGCGGACCACUGGCAGCGGAGGCAGGCAGGGCAGGCAGGGCAUCCUCUUCGCUGUGCUCCCGAGGCCGCUGCCGGCUUUUCCCACGACCUGAUUUGCAAAAAAAUAAAUAAAAAUCCCGUUAAGCAGCAGCAGCAGUAGCUCCAGCUGGAGGCACCACGGCGAUGAUACGGCCUCGACAGACCCCGCCGGGAGCGGGGCGAAGCCAAAGGAGCUGCGGUGGUGCCGGUGUCCGCAGGCGGGCGAGGUGGAGCUGCGAGUUCGGGGCACAAAAUCAGCUAUUUGGGGGAUGGAGGAAGUCUGCGGGGUGGAAAGGAUGAGGGGUGUAUGGAGAAAUGGCGGGGGGAAUGCAGGAACGGUGGAAUGGGCUGAGCAAAAAUGAGGGUUAAAUGGAGCAGAAAAAGGAGAAGAGGAGG